AUUGAACGCUGGCGGCAGGCCUAACACAUGCAAGUCGAACGGUAACAGGAAGAAGCUUGCUUCUUUGCUGACGAGUGGCGGACGGGUGAGGAAUGUCUGGGAAAAUGCCUGAUGGAGGGGGAUAACUACUGGAAAAGGUAGCUAAUACCGCAUAAUGUCGCAAGACCAAAGAGGGGGACCUUCGGGCCCCUUGCCAUCGGAUUUGCCCAGAUGGGAUUAGCUAGUAGGUGGGGUAACGGCUCACCUAGGCGACGAUCCCUAGCUGGUCUGAGAGGAUGACCAGCCACACUGGAACUGAGACACGGUCCAGACUCCUACGGGAGGCAGCAGUGGGGAAUAUUGCACAAUGGGCGCAAGCCUGAUGCAGCUAUGCCUCGUGUAUGAAGAAGGCCUUCGGGUUGUAAAGUACUUUCAGCGGGGAGGAAGGGAGUAAAGUUAAUACCUUUGCUCAUUGACGUUACCCGCAGAAGAAGCACCGGCUAACUCCGUG
rnacentral:rRNA from 1 species